rnacentral:rRNA from 1 species
UGAGGAAUAUUGGUCAAUGGGCGAGAGCCUGAACCAGCCAAGUAGCGUGCAGGAUGACGGCCCUAUGGGUUGUAAACUGCUUUUAUGUGGGGAUAAAGUGCGUGACGUGUCAUGCAUUGCAGGUACCACAUGAAUAAGGACCGGCUAAUUCCGUGCCAGCAGCCGCGGUAAUACGGAAGGUCCGGGCGUUAUCCGGAUUUAGUGGGUUUAAAGGGAGCGUAGGCUGUCUAUUAAGCGUGUUGUGGAAUUUACCGGCUCAACCGGUGGCUUGCAGCGCGAACUGGUCGACUUGAGUAUGCAGGAAGUAGGCGGAAUUCAUGGUGUAGCGGUGAAAUGCUUAGAAAUCAUGACGAACUCCGAUUGCGCAGGCAGCUUACUGUAGCAUAACUGACGCUGAUGCUCGAAAGUGCGGGUAUCAAACAGG